GAUGAACGCUGGCGGCGUGCCUAAUACAUGCAAGUCGAGCGAACGGACGAGAAGCUUGCUUCUCUGAUGUUAGCGGCGGACGGGUGAGUAACACGUGGAUCACCUACCUAUAAGACUGGGAUCACUUCGGGACACCGGAGCUAAUACCGGAUAAUAUUUUGAACCGCAUGGUUCAAAAGUGAAAGACGGUCUUGCUGUCACUUAUAGAUGGAUCCGCGCUGCAUUAGCUAGUUGGUAAGGUAACGGCUUACCAAGGCAACGAUGCAUAGCCGACCUGAGAGGGUGAUCGGCCACGCUGGAACUGAGACACGGUCCAGGCUCCUGAGAGAGGCAGCAGUAGGGAAUCGUCCGCAAUGGGCGAAAGCCUGACGGAGCAACGCCGCGUGAGUGAUGAAGGUCUUCGGAUCGUAAAACUCUGUUAUUAGGGAAGAACAUAUGUGGAAGGAACUGUGCACAGCUUGACGGUACCUAAUCAGAAAGCCACGGCUAACUACGUG
rnacentral:rRNA from 1 species